CAGAGGUGCCAAGCGUUAGGCGGAAUCACUGGGCUUAAAGCGCGCGUAGGCGGAUGUUUAAGUGUCUUGUGAAAUCCCACGGCUCAACCGUGGAACUGCUGGGCAUACUGGACAUCUCGAGGCACUCAGGGGCGAGCGGAACAAGUGGUGGAGCGGUGAAAUGCGUAGAUAUCACUUGGAACGCCAAUGGUGAAGACAGCUCGCUGGGGGUGUCCUGACGCUGAGGCGCGAAAGCCAGGGGAGCGAACGGGAUUAGAUACCCCGGUAGUCCUGGCCCUAAACGAUGUCCACUAGAUCAUGGCGGCUCUGACGCCGUCAUGGUCGGAGCAAAAGUGUUAAGUGGACCGCCUGGGAAGUACGGUCGCAAGGUUG
rnacentral:rRNA from 1 species